UAGGGAAUCUUCCACAAUGGGCGAAAGCCUGAUGGAGCAACGCCGCGUGUGUGAUGAAGGGUUUCGGCUCGUAAAACACUGUUGUAAGAGAAGAAUGACAUUGAGAGUAACUGUUCAAUGUGUGCGGUAUCUUACCAGAAAGGAACGGCUAAAUACGUGCCAG
rnacentral:rRNA from 1 species